CCUACGGGAGGCAGCAGUGGGGAAUAUUGGACAAUGGGCGAAAGCCUGAUCCAGCAAUGCCGCGUGAGUGAUGAAGGCCUUAGGGUCGUAAAGCUCUUUUACCCGGGAUGAUAAUGACAGUACCGGGAGAAUAAGCCCCGGCUAACUCCGUGCCAGCAGCCGCGGUAAUACGGAGGGGGCUAGCGUUGUUCGGAAUUACUGGGCGUAAAGCGUGCGUAGGCGGUUAUUCAAGUCAGAGGUGAAAGCCCGGGGCUCAACCCCGGAACGGCCUUUGAAACUAGGUAGCUAGAAUCUUGGAGAGGUCAGUGGAAUUCCGAGUGUAGAGGUGAAAUUCGUAGAUAUUCGGAAGAACACCAGUGGCGAAGGCGACUGACUGGACAAGUAUUGACGCUGAGGCACGAAAGCGUGGGGAGCAAACAGGAUUAGAUACCCUGGUAGUCCACGCCGUAAACGAUGAUAACUAGCUGUUCGGGUACUUGGUAUCUGAGUGGCGCAGCUAACGCAUUAAGUUAUCCGCCUGGGGAUACGGUCGCAAGAUUAAAACUCAAAGGAAUUGACGG
rnacentral:rRNA from 1 species